UACGAAGGGGGCUAGCGUUGCUCGGAAUCACUGGGCGUAAAGCGCACGUAGGCGGAUCUUUAAGUCAGGGGUGAAAUCCUGGAGCUCAACUCCAGAACUGCCUUUGAUACUGAGGAUCUCGAGUCCGGAAGAGGUGAGUGGAACUCCGAGUGUAGAGGUGAAAUUCGUAGAUAUUCGGAAGAACACCAGUGGCGAAGGCGGCUCACUGGUCCGGUACUGACGCUGAGGCGCGAAAGCCAGGGGAGCGAACGGG
rnacentral:rRNA from 1 species